GUUGCUAAACCACCCCCUCCUCAGGAGCGUCAGUGCUUUGAAUGCAACCAAAUGGGGCACUGGAAAAGGAACUGCCCACAGUAUCUAGCCAAGCUGAAGGCGAACAAGGCCAAUAACAUUGGCACUUCUUCAGGAGCCUGAAAAGUGGAGGAAGCUGAAACAAGGCGACAUGGAACUCAUCGUGGGUGAUGG